rnacentral:rRNA from 1 species
UACGAAGGGUGCAAGCGUUACUCGGAAUUACUGGGCGUAAAGCGUGCGUAGGUGGUUUGUUAAGUCUGAUGUGAAAGCCCUGGGCUCAACCUGGGAACGGCAUUGGAAACUGGCUUACUAGAGUGCGGUAGAGGGGUGUGGAAUUCCCGGUGUAGCAGUGAAAUGCGUAGAUAUCGGGAGGAACAUCUGUGGCGAAGGCGACACCCUGGACCAGCACUGACGCUGAGGCACGAAAGCGUGGGGAGCAAACAGG